UACGGGGGGGCAAGCGUUGUUCGGAAUUACUGGGCGUAAAGGGCUCGUAGGCGGCCAACUAAGUCCGACGUGAAAUCCCCAGGCUUAACCUGGGAACUGCGUCGGAUACUGGAUGGCUUGAAUCCGGGAGAGGGAUGCAGAAUUCCAGGUGUAGCGGUGAAAUGCGUAGAUAUCUGGAGGAACACCGGUGGCGAAGGCGGCAUCCUGGACCGAGAUUGACGCUGAGGCGCGAAAGCCAGGGGAGCAACGGG
rnacentral:rRNA from 1 species